UACAGAGGUCUCAAGCGUUGUUCGGAUUCAUUGGGCGUAAAGGGUGCGUAGGUGGCGAGGUAAGUUCGAUGUGAAAUCUCCGAGCUCAACUCGGAAACGGCAUUGAAUACUAUCCCGCUUGAGGGUCGGAGGGGAGACUGGAAUUCUCGGUGUAGCAGUGAAAUGCGUAGAUAUCGAGAGGAACACCAGUGGCGAAGGCGAGUCUCUGGCCUGUUCUUGACGCUGAGGCGCGAAAGCUAGGGGAGCAAACGGG
rnacentral:rRNA from 1 species